UGGGGAAUAUUGCGCAAUGGGCGAAAGCCUGACGCAGCGACGCCGCGUGAGUGAUGAAGGCCUUAGGGUCGUAAAGCUCUGUUGAAUGGGAAGAAAAAAAUGACGGUACCAUUCGAGAAAGGACCGGCUAACUUCGUGCCAGCAGCCGCGGUAAGACGAGGGGUCCUAGCGUUGUUCGGAAUCAUUGGGCGUAAAGCGUAUGUAGGUGGCCUUAUAAGUCAGGUGUGAAAGCCCCGGGCUCAACCCGGGAAGUGCAUUUGAUACUGUUUGGCUUGAGUACCGAAGAGGAUAGUGGAAUUCCAGGUGUAGUGGUGAAAUACGUAGAUAUCUGGAGGAACACCGGUGGCGAAGGCGGCUAUCUGGUCGAGUACUGACACUGAGAUACGAAAGCGUGGGGAUC
rnacentral:rRNA from 1 species